rnacentral:lncRNA from 1 species
CUUUAUUUUAAAACCAUUUUUAAAUUUUUAUUGUUAGAUCCCUUACUCUAUGUACCUUAAAUAAGUAGGUAUAAAUUUUUUUUUUUUUAAUUAGGUCCCUCCUCCUCUUGAAAUAGAUUGGAAUAGAGAAUAUUUUUCUAGACAUUUUCAAUAUUCUAACAAUAUCUAAUUAACCAUAAUUAAAUUUGUCAGACACAGAUUAACAAAACUUUCUAAAUUUAAUAAAGUGAAAAGAAACAUUUCCACUAAACACUUAAGAAAGAACUCUGAUUUUGUGAUAUAUGCCUAUACAAGCGAAAACCUAAUAUCAGAAAAAACUAGUAUACUUCAGAUUGUUAUUCAGUAUAAAAUAAAUUAUAUUCUACUUUUUUAGAAAUAAUAUCACCAUGCUUGUAUAAGUUGACAUUUUUUUUAUAUUUUUGAUGUAUAGGUACACUUCUUAUUUAUGGGAGUUGGUUGAAUUCUGCUGGAACAUAUUUGGAUUAUGUAUUAAUGUUAAUAUCAAUAAUAAUAGAUCGCACUAUAACUUAUGUUGUUUAUACAACACUCACUGACCAUUAUUCAAUAAUUUUAAAUAUUAAUAAAACAAGCAUUCUUAAAAAUAAACUAAAUCUCAAAUUUAUAAAUAAACUCAAUCUUUUAAUAUUCCUCAUUAUAUUGUUAACUUCUUACAAAUUUUCUUCUAUUUGAGUUACCUAUAUUAUCUGCAAACAUCGCGCACCAUGGUACUUCCUCUUACCUGUUAUCCCCACGCAUAUCCAGUAUAGAACAAUCUUUCAAAGGCUUGUUUAGAAUAAUUCUUCAUACUGAUUGACCGAAUCUUAAAUUAGCUGUCGACCUGACGUAAACCCAUUUUUUUUUCCUCUUUUACGACAUGUAUACUAUAUAAGUAAUAGGUAUUGUGGGAGUAUUCUGAUUCCUUUCUAUUAAAAUAAUUGUAUUCUCAACUUUAAUGUGAAUUCCUUCGCCUUUCAGAAACAAUACCAUACCUAUACUGGAAUCACCCACUUACGAUUUCCACCAAUAGGAGCUUAUUGUGCCCCGGGUUUACACUGAGAUUCACAUUGGAUAUAUACAAUAAAAAUAAUAAUUAAACAGUAGUUAAAUACUACAAAGACAUAUUAUAAAAUAUACUGAAUUAAUAGCGUUAUGGGUUCUGUAGUGUUAAUUGCUAUCAAUACAUUUGGCUGUUUAAAAAAAAUUAAUGUCAUGUAUUUAAAAUGUAUCAAAAUAUAAUUAAUUAAAUAAAACCAUAAUAUAUUUUAUAGAAAGCCAUUGCAGAUGUUUUACACAUCAUUGAUACGCCCGUACUCCUCGUACAGGACAGUGUUAUUACCCAAGUUAGGUUAAUGUUAUAGGAAGGAAUUUUUUGUCCUGGAAAAGUUGUUAGGUUAGAGUUAUUUGUAUUAUUAUAUAAUUUAGUUAAAGUAAUUCAGUUUGAACAUUCCUAAAAUCAGAGAUAUCUAAAUCAUACAAACCAAAUAUAAUUCUGAGUGAAGACAUGCAGUUGGGUUAAAUAAUUAGUCGUGAAAGAUUACUAAUCUUGAUUUAAGAAGUAUCUGUAGCUACUUAUGAUCUAUGUAAUUUUAAACAUAUCUGUUUUGUUUUUAUAUAUCAUACAUCUAUAUCAA